rnacentral:rRNA from 1 species
AAGCUCGAGCGGAAACGAGUUAUCUGAACCUUCGGGGAACGAUAACGGCGUCGAGCGGCGGACGGGUGAGUAAUGCCUAGGAAAUUGCCCUGAUGUGGGGGAUAACCAUUGGAAACGAUGGCUAAUACCGCAGGAUGCCUACGGGCCAAAGAGGGGGACCUUCGGGCCUCUCGCGUCAGGAUAUGCCUAGGUGGGAUUAGCUAGUUGGUGAGGUAAGGGCUCACCAAGGCAACGAUCCCUAGCUGGUCUGAGAGGAUGAUCACCCACACUGGAACUGAAACACGGUCCAAACUCCUACGGGAGGCAGCAGUGGGGAAUAUUGCACAAUGGGCGCAAGCCUGAUGCACCCAUGCCGCGUGUGUGAAAAAGGCCUUCGGGUUGUAAAGCACUUUCAGUCGUGAGGAAGGCGGUGUCGUUAAUAGCGGCAUUAUUUGACGUUAGCGACAAAAAAAGCACCGGCUAACUCCGUGCCAGCAGCCGCGGUAAUACGGAGGGUGCGAGCGUUAAUCGGAAUUACUGGGCGUAAAGCGCAUGCGGGUGGUUUGUUAAGUCAGAUGUGAAAGCCCGGGGCUCAACCUCGGAAUAGCAUUUGAAACUGGCAGACUAGAGUACUGUAGAGGGGGGUAGAAUUUCACGUGUAGCGGUGAAAUGCGUAGAGAUCUGAAAGAAUACCGGUGGCGAAGGCGGCCCCCUGGACAGAUACUGACACUCAGAUGCGAAAGCGUGGGGGAGCAAACAGGAUUAGAUACCCUGGUAGUCCACGCCGUAAACGAUGUCUACUUGGAGGUUGUGGUCUUUGACCCGUGGCUUUCGGAGCUAACGCGUUAAGUAGACCGCCUGGGGAGUACGGUCGCAGAUUAAACUCAAUGAUUGACGGGGCCCGCACAGCGUGGAGCAUGUGGUUUAUUCUAUGCACGCGAGAUCUUACCUACUCUGA